rnacentral:tRNA from 1 species
GGUGAGAUGGCUCAGUGGGUAAGAGCACCGGACUGCUCUUCCGAAGGUCUGAAGUUCGAAUCCCAGCAACCA